rnacentral:ribozyme from 1 species
AUCCAAAACGGCCAAAGCGACCCGCGAUCCGAAAAGAAGGGUGCUGCUGCUGACGGCGACAACAUCGAGGACGACCUGCUCGGCCUCUGCGAAGUGGACGAGUGUCCCAUC